rnacentral:tRNA from 2 species
AGUACCACGCCGGGCUGAACGGAAAUCAUUGAUGUUGAUUAAUACGGGGAUGUUUAUUACCUCUGGUGCUA